GCCGGGCUUGGUGGUGCAUGUCUGUAAUCCCAGCUACUUGGGAGGCUGAGGCAGGAUAAUUGCUGGAACCCAGGAGGCAGAGGCUGCAGUGAGCUGAGAUCAUGCCACUCUACUUCAGCCUGGGUGACACAGCAAGACUCUGUCUCAA
ensembl:misc_RNA Metazoa_SRP Metazoan signal recognition particle RNA